rnacentral:lncRNA from 1 species
AUGAGGUUGGGAUCAGAUGAGAUCAUGAGAUAGAGAGACUUCAAGAGGGAGAGACCAGCCUCGCAGCGGUGGUUCUUAGGGCGGCGACGGUUAACUCAAGCGAACGAUGAUGGCAGUACUAGCGGCUAGGGUUCAGAUAUGUUUAGGGUUCAGAUCUGUUACCGGUAAAGGAGAUGGAGCCUCGCAGCGGUGGUUCUUAGAGCGGCGUCGGUUAACUCAAGCGAACGAUGAUGGCAGUACUACCGGCUAAGGUUCAAAUCUGUUUAGGGUUCAGAUCUGUUACCGGUAACUAGGGUUUCUACCAGGUCUCCGAUUUUGAGUUGUGGUGUUAGCGGUUGUGAUGGUUGCGGUGGCUAUUGUUGUGAUUAUUUUGGUGCUUUUAAUCUACCAUGGAAAUAAAAAUUUAAACAUAGUUACAUAUAUCUAAAAAGUGUGAAGUUACAUGGGAAAAUGAAAUGAUGGUAUCGUCAAAGGUAAAUGAGCAAGAAUGAUUUAUCGUGUAAUUAUUUGUACAACUUGCCAGAAAAAAAAUAUCCCU